rnacentral:rRNA from 1 species
UGGGGAAUAUUGGACAAUGGGCGCAAGCCUGAUCCAGCAAUGCCGCGUGUGUGAAGAAGGCCUUCGGGUUGUAAAGCACUUUUAUCAGGAGCGAAACGCUGUCGGCUAAUACCCGGCGGAACUGACGGUACCUGAGGAAUAAGCACCGGCUAACUUCGUGCCAGCAGCCGCGGUAAUACGAAGGGUGCAAGCGUUAAUCGGAAUUACUGGGCGUAAAGCGUGCGUAGGCGGUUUCUUAAGUCUGCUGUGAAAUCCCCGGGCUCAACCUGGGAAUGGCAGUGGAUACUGGGAGGCUAGAGUGUGUCAGAGGGUGGUGGAAUUCCCGGUGUAGCGGUGAAAUGCGUAGAGAUCGGGAGGAACAUCAGUGGCGAAGGCGGCCACCUGGGACAACACUGACGCUGAGGCACGAAAGCGUGGGGAGCAAACAGGAUUAGAUACCCUGGUAGUCCACGCCCUAAAGCGAUGCGAACUGGAUGUUGGUCUCAACUCGGAGAUCAGUGUCGAAGCUAACGCGUUAAGUUCGCCGCCUGGGGAGUACAGUCGCAAGACU